GUCAGAAGCCAGAAUGGAUGUCCUACUUGUAGUCAUAGCUGCUGUGCCGCUCAUCUUGGGCAGAGCAAGAAAAGGCAGCUGAAACUGCAUGGUAAGAGGAAACUCCAUUUUAUGAUUGGGGAAAACUAGGAGCAGGGUGACAUUAGAUGGUUGAAGUAACUUUGUUGCUGGAGAGUAAAAGAAAGACUCCCGUCUACAUGUGGCUUGGGACUCCUAGAGAAGAAUAGCGGCCAUCAGGGACACUGGACAAGAAUAUGAGGAAGAACAAAUAUAUGAAGGAAUAUAUGAAGAUUAUCAGGUGGUCUAUUACACAGUCACUCCAUAUUACGAUGACUUUGGAGUCAACUUUACCCUUGACUAUUCCCAAUUUGAGGAGGAGGAUAGAAUGAGCAUUGAGAAACAAACUAUAACUCAAGCAGGAGACAGGAAGGUUAAUCCUGAGAAAAAACUUCCAGACAAUGGCAUACAGAAGACAACAGAAAAAGCCAGUACUCAGUCCACUACACCAAAGGAGAGAUUAUACACAGAGAAGAACUGGGGCCAAGAAGGAAAAGAAGAUGGCCCCAGGGACAGAAAAGAAUCUACCACAGAGGCACCUUCAGCUAUGGAUGCUGCUGUGCCCACUCUGCAGCAUCACCUCCCACUCCUCCUUCUGCCCUGGGUUCUGCUGAGGUGGAUAUUGCUACUUUAGAAGGAGAGAGAAGGCUGCCAUGACUUCUUUGAAAAGGGGGUGGGGGGGGAGUGGAGUGCAGAAACUGGAAAAAGAAAUAAAUAAUUGAACCACAAACGUUA